rnacentral:rRNA from 1 species
UUAAGCGACUAAGCGUACACGGUGGAUGCCCUGGCAGUCAGAGGCGAUGAAGGACGUGCUAAUCUGCGAAAAGCGUCGGUAAGGUGAUAUGAACCGUUAUAGCCGGCGAUGUCCGAAUGGGGAAACCCAGUGCAAUUCGUUGCACUAUCGUUAACUGAAUACAUAGGUUAACGAGGCGAACCGGGGGAACUGAAACAUCUAAGUACCCCGAGGAAAAGAAAUCAACCGAGAUUCCCCCAGUAGCGGCGAGCGAACGGGGAGCAGCCCAGAGUCUGAAUCAGCUUGUGUGUUAGUGGAACGGUCUGGAAAGUCCGACGGUACAGGGUGAUAGUCCCGUACACCAAAAUGCACAGGCUGUGAACUCGAAGAGUAGGGCGGGACACGUGGUAUCCUGUCUGAAUAUGGGGGGACCAUCCUCCAAGGCUAAAUACUCCUGACUGACCGAUAGUGAACCAGUACCGUGAGGGAAAGGCGAAAAGAACCCCGGCGAGGGGAGUGAAAAAGAACCUGAAACCGUGUACGUACAAGCAGUGGGAGCACCUUCGGGUGUGACUGCGUACCUUUUGUAUAAUGGGUCAGCGACUUAUAUUCUGUAGCAAGGUUAACCGUAUAGGGGAGCCGCAGGGAAACCGAGUCUUAACUGGGCGUUAAGUUGCAGGGUAUAGACCCGAAACCCGGUGAUCUAGCCAUGGGCAGGUUGAAGGUUGGGUAACACUAACUGGAGGACCGAACCGACUAAUGUUGAAAAAUUAGCGGAUGACUUGUGGCUGGGGGUGAAAGGCCAAUCAAACCGGGAGAUAGCUGGUUCUCCCCGAAAGCUAUUUAGGUAGCGCCUCGUGAAUUCAUCUUCGGGGGUAGAGCACUGUUUCGGCUAGGGGGUCAUCCCGACUUACCAACCCGAUGCAAACUACGAAUACCGAAGAAUGUUAUCACGGGAGACACACGGCGGGUGCUAACGUCCGUCGUGAAGAGGGAAACAACCCAGACCGCCAGCUAAGGUCCCAAAGUCAUGGUUAAGUGGGAAACGAUGUGGGAAGGCACAGACAGCCAGGAUGUUGGCUUAGAAGCAGCCAUCAUUUAAAGAAAGCGUAAUAGCUCACUGGUCGAGUCGGCCUGCGCGGAAGAUGUAACGGGGCUAAACCAUGCACCGAAGCUGCGGCAGCGACACUAUGUGUUGUUGGGUAGGGGAGCGUUCUGUAAGCCUGCGAAGGUGUGCUGUGAGGCAUGCUGGAGGUAUCAGAAGUGCGAAUGCUGACAUAAGUAACGAUAAAGCGGGUGAAAAGCCCGCUCGCCGGAAGACCAAGGGUUCCUGUCCAACGUUAAUCGGGGCAGGGUGAGUCGACCCCUAAGGCGAGGCCGAAAGGCGUAGUCGAUGGGAAACAGGUUAAUAUUCCUGUACUUGGUGUUACUGCGAAGGGGGGACGGAGAAGGCUAUGUUAGCCGGGCGACGGUUGUCCCGGUUUAAGCAUGUAGGCUGGUUGUCCAGGCAAAUCCGGAUAAUCAAGGCUGAGGUGUGAUGACGAGGCACUACGGUGCUGAAGUAACAAAUGCCCUGCUUCCAGGAAAAGCCUCUAAGCAUCAGGUAACAUUAAAUCGUACCCCAAACCGACACAGGUGGUCAGGUAGAGAAUACCAAGGCGCUUGAGAGAACUCGGGUGAAGGAACUAGGCAAAAUGGUGCCGUAACUUCGGGAGAAGGCACGCUGGUGUGUAGGUGAAGUCCCUGCGGAUGGAGCUGAGACCAGUCGAAGAUACCAGCUGGCUGCAACUGUUUAUUAAAAACACAGCACUGUGCAAACACGAAAGUGGACGUAUACGGUGUGACGCCUGCCCGGUGCCGGAAGGUUAAUUGAUGGGGUUAUCCGUAAGGAGAAGCUCUUGAUCGAAGCCCCGGUAAACGGCGGCCGUAACUAUAACGGUCCUAAGGUAGCGAAAUUCCUUGUCGGGUAAGUUCCGACCUGCACGAAUGGCGUAAUGAUGGCCAGGCUGUCUCCACCCGAGACUCAGUGAAAUUGAACUCGCUGUGAAGAUGCAGUGUACCCGCGGCAAGACGGAAAGACCCCGUGAACCUUUACUAUAGCUUGACACUGAACAUUGAGCCUUGAUGUGUAGGAUAGGUGGGAGGCUUUGAAGCGUGGACGCCAGUCUGCGUGGAGCCAACCUUGAAAUACCACCCUUUAAUGUUUGAUGUUCUAACGUUGGCCCCUGACCGGGGUUGCGGACAGUGUCUGGUGGGUAGUUUGACUGGGGCGGUCUCCUCCCAAAGCGUAACGGAGGAGCACGAAGGUUAGCUAAUCCUGGUCGGACAUCAGGAGGUUAGUGCAAUGGCAUAAGCUAGCUUGACUGCGAGCGUGACGGCGCGAGCAGGUGCGAAAGCAGGUCAUAGUGAUCCGGUGGUUCUGAAUGGAAGGGCCAUCGCUCAACGGAUAAAAGGUACUCCGGGGAUAACAGGCUGAUACCGCCCAAGAGUUCAUAUCGACGGCGGUGUUUGGCACCUCGAUGUCGGCUCAUCACAUCCUGGGGCUGAAGUAGGUCCCAAGGGUAUGGCUGUUCGCCAUUUAAAGUGGUACGCGAGCUGGGUUUAGAACGUCGUGAGACAGUUCGGUCCCUAUCUGCCGUGGGCGCUGGAGAAUUGAGGGGGGCUGCUCCUAGUACGAGAGGACCGGAGUGGACGCAUCACUGGUGUUCGGGUUGUCAUGCCAAUGGCACUGCCCGGUAGCUAAAUGCGGAAGAGAUAAGUGCUGAAAGCAUCUAAGCACGAAACUUGCCCCGAGAUGAGUUCUCCCUGAGACUUUAAGUCUCCUGAAGGAACGUUGAAGACGACGACGUUGAUAGGCCGGGUGUGUAAGCGCAGCGAUGCGUUGAGCUAACCGGUACUAAUGAACCGUGAGGCUUAACCUU